rnacentral:rRNA from 1 species
GACGAACGCUGGCGGCGUGCUUAACACAUGCAAGUCGAACGGAAAGGCCCUGCUUUUGUGGGGUGCUCGAGUGGCGAACAGGUGAGUAACACGUGAGUAACCUGCCCUUGACUUUGGGAUAACUUCAGGAAACUGGGGCUAAUACCGGAUAGGAGCUCCUGCUGCAUGGUGGGGGUUGGAAAGUUUCGGCGGUUGGGGAUGGACUCGCGGCUUAUCAGCUUGUUGGUGGGGUAGUGGCUUACCAAGGCUUUGACGGGUAGCCGGCCUGAGAGGGUGACCGGCCACAUUGGGACUGAGAUACGGCCCAGACUCCUACGGGAGGCAGCAGUGGGGAAUAUUGCACAAUGGGCGGAGCCUGAUGCAGCAACGCCGCGUGCGGGAUGACGGCCUUCGGGUUGUAAACCGCUUUCGCCUGUGACGAAGCGUGAGUGACGGUAAUGGGUAAAGAAGCACCGGCUAACUACGUG